rnacentral:rRNA from 1 species
GAUGAACGCUGGCGGCGUGCCUAAUACAUGCAAGUCGAGCGAACGGACGAGAAGCUUGCUUCUCUGAUGUUAGCGGCGGACGGGUGAGUAACACGUGGAUAACCUACCUAUAAGACUCGGAUAACUUCGGGUAAUCGUAGCUAAUACCGGAUAAUAUUUUGAACCGCAUGGUUCAAAAGUUCAAGACGGUCUUGCUGUCACUUACAGAUGGAUCCGCGCUGCAUUAGCUAGUUGGUAAGGUAACGGCUUACCAAGGCGACGAUGCAUAGCCGACCUGAGAGGGUGAUCGGCCACACUGGAACUGAGACACGGUCCAGACUCCUACGGGAGGCAGCAGUAGGGAAUCUUCCGCAAUGGGCGAAAGCCUGACGGAGCAACGCCGCGUGAGUGAUGAAGGUCUUCGGAUCGUAAACCUCUGUUAUUAGGGAAGAAAAUAUGUGUAAGUAACUGUACACAUCAUGACGGUACCGAAACAGAAAGCCACGGCUAACUACGUG